ACGCUAUGUUUACACUUUCGAACAAUCUCCUAAAAUCUUUCCCAUGCUUCAAAAAUAGUUUUCGUAUCUUUCUGGAAGAAGUUAUGAAUUUCUCUUCUAAACUU
rnacentral:snoRNA from 1 species